rnacentral:rRNA from 1 species
UGGUUAAGCCGCGAAUGGCUCAUUACAACAGCCAUAGUUUAUUGGAUCUAACUAUCCUACUUGGAUACCUGUGGUAAUUCUAGAGCUAAUACACGCAAUCAAGCCCUGACCUUACGGGAAGGGCGCAUUUAUUAGAACAAAACCAAUUGGCUUCGGCCAUCUAUUGGUGAAUCUGAAUAACUACGCAGAUCGCAUGGUCUCGUACCGGCGACAUAUCCUUCAAGUGUCUGCCUUAUCAACUGUCGAUGGUAGUUUAUACGACUACCUUGGUGGUAACGGGUAACGGAGAAUUUGGGUUCGACUCCGGAGAGGGAGCCUGAGAAACGGCUACCACAUCCAAGGAAGGCAGCAGGCGCGCAAAUUACCCACUCUCAGCUCGAGGAGGUAGUGACGAAAAAUAACGAGACAGUUCUCUAUGAGGUCUGUCAUCGGAAUGGGUACAAUCUAAACCCUUUAACGAGGAUCAAUUGGAGGGCAAGUCUGGUGCCAGCAGCCGCGGUAAUUCCAGCUCCAAUAGCGUAUAUUAAAGUUGUUGC